rnacentral:rRNA from 1 species
GACGUAGGGCGCGAGCGUUGUCCGGAUUUAUUGGGCGUAAAGAGCUCGUAGGCGGCUCAUUGCGUCAACCGUGAAAACCAGCAGCUCAACUGUUGGCUUGCGGUUGAUACGGGUGGGCUGGAGUUCGGUAGGGGAGACUGGAAUUCCUGGUGUAGCGGUGGAAUGCGCAGAUAUCAGGAGGAACACCGGUGGCGAAGGCGGGUCUCUGGGCAGUAACUGACGCUGAGGAGCGAAAGCGUGGGGAGCGAACGGG